rnacentral:rRNA from 1 species
UACGUAGGUGACAAGCGUUGUCCGGAUUUACUGGGCGUAAAGAGCGCGCAGGCGGUCGAUCAAGUCGAAUGUGAAAGCCCCCGGCUCAACUGGGGAGGGUCAUUCGAUACUGAUCGACUCGAAGGCAGGAGAGGGUAGUGGAAUUCCCGGUGUAGUGGUGAAAUGCGUAGAUAUCGGGAGGAACACCAGUGGCGAAGGCGACUACCUGGCCUGUUCUUGACGCUGAGGCGCGAAAGCUAGGGGAGCAAACGGGG